GAAGAGAGGUAAGAGGUAGGCAAUUGGGAUUAAGUGAUUUUGCCCAGGGUCACACAGUUAGGAAGUGUCCGGAGGUCAAAUUUGAACCCAUGAUCUCUCAACUCUAGGUCUAACUCUCUAUCCACUACGAAAUCUAUCUGUCCCUGGCAGAUAUAUUAUGUGAGGAUUCCUUUUGAGUGUGAUUUAGACUAGAUGGCUUCUUCGGUCUCUUCCAAUUCAAAUUCUAGUAUUCUGUUAUAACACUGAACAUGCUAGAUCAUCUAAAACUUUGUAGCCUUUGCAUGCUCUCCCAUAACUGGGUUCAUAUUUCCUGGCUAUCUUCAAGCUGCUUUGUUCAUUCCCUCAAGCUUCAACCUCUAACCCAGAACUCAAGUUUCUACCUGGGCCACUGGGCUUAUUAUGAUUGAUGAGCAUUUGCCUUAUAGUUCAGAAUAACCCCCUUUUCCCUUUCCAACUCUGGCUGAGGAUAAUAAAAUCAAUAUUCCCAUUCCUAGAAAAGAUGUGAACCAACAUCCUAUGUGACCCCAAUCACCAUCCCUCUGAUUUCCCUAUCCAAAAUAUUCUUCCUUAGAUACCACUCCCUUACAUGGUUUAUUCAUUAGAAUGUAAAUUCUUAGAGGGCAGUUUUGUGCUUUCUUGUAUUUGUACUACUAGUGCUUAGCACAGAGCAGCACACAGCAACUAUUUACUAUUGUUCAGUCAUUUCUGAUUCUUCAGGACCCUUUUUAGGGUUUUCCUGGCAAAGAUACUAGAAACUGAGGCAAACAAGAUUAAAUGAAGUUUGAGGCCAGAUUUGAACUCAGGAAGAUGAGUCAUCCUGACUUCAAACCCUGAACUCUAUCCACUUGCCCAGUCACUAUUUAAUACAUUUUUUUUCCUUUCCUCUCUCUCUUUCUCCCUUCCUCCUUUCCUUCCUUCCUUCCCUCCAUUCCUUUCCUUCCUUCUUCCCUCCCUUCCUUCCUCUCUUCCUCCCUCCCUUCCUCUCUUCCUCCCUCCCUCCCUUCCUCUCUUUCCCCCUCCCUUCCUUCCUUCUCCCCUUUCUCCCUUUCUCCCUCUCUCCUUCCUUCCUUCCUUCCUUCCUUCCUUCCUUCCUUCCUUCCUUCCUUCCUUCCUUCCUUCCUUCCUUCCUUCCUCUUCCUUCCUUCCUCUUCCUUCCUUCUUUCUUUCUUUCUUUCUUUCUUUCUUUCUUUCUUUCUUUCUUUCUUUCUUUCUUUCUUUCUUUCUUUCUUUCUUUCUUUCUUUCUUUCUUUCUUUCUUUCUUUCUUUCUUUCUUUCUUUCUUUCUUUCUUUCUUUCUUUCUUUCUUUCUUUCCUAGGUAGAAAAACAAUGGAGGUUU
rnacentral:lncRNA from 1 species